UACGAAGGGGGCUAGCGUUGUUCGGAAUUACUGGGCGUAAAGCGUGCGCAGGCGGCGCGUUUAAGACAGGUGUGAAAGCCCCGAGCUUAACUUGGGAAUUGCGCUUGUGACUGGCGUGCUGGAGUGUGGCAGAGGGAGGUGGAAUUCCACGUGUAGCAGUGAAAUGCGUAGAGAUGUGGAGGAACACCGAUGGCGAAGGCAGCCUCCUGGGCCAGCACUGACGCUCAUGCACGAAAGCGUGGGGAGCAAACAGG
rnacentral:rRNA from 1 species